rnacentral:rRNA from 1 species
UACAGAGGGGGCAAGCGUUGUUCGGAAUUACUGGGCGUAAAGGGCGCGUAGGCGGCCCGCUAAGUCGAACGUGAAAUCCCCGAGCUCAACUCGGGAACUGCGUCCGAUACUGGCGGGCUUGAAUCCGGGAGAGGGGUGCGGAAUUCCUGGUGUAGCGGUGGAAUGCGCAGAUAUCAGGAGGAACACCAGUGGCGAAGGCGGCUUCCUGGACACCAACUGACGCUGAGACGCGAAAGCGUGGGGAGCAAACAGG